GCGCCCGUAGCUCAGCUGGAUAGAGCAACGGCCUUCUAAGCCGUAGGCCAGACGUUCGAAUCGUCUCGGGCGCGCCA
rnacentral:tRNA from 1 species